rnacentral:rRNA from 1 species
AAAUUGAAGAGUUUGAUCAUGGCUCAGAUUGAACGCUGGCGGCAGGCCUAACACAUGCAAGUCGAACGGUAACAGGAAGAAGCUUGCUUCUUUGCUGACGAGUGGCGGACGGGUGAGUAAUGUCUGGGAAACUGCCUGAUGGAGGGGGAUAACUACUGGAAACGGUAGCUAAUACCGCAUAACGUCGCAAGACCAAAGAGGGGGACCUUCGGGCCUCUUGCCAUCGGAUGUGCCCAGAUGGGAUUAGCUAGUAGGUGGGGUAACGGCUCACCUAGGCGACGAUCCCUAGCUGGUCUGAGAGGAUGACCAGCCACACUGGAACUGAGACACGGUCCAGACUCCUACGGGAGGCAGCAGUGGGGAAUAUUGCACAAUGGGCGCAAGCCUGAUGCAGCCAUGCCGCGUGUAUGAAGAAGGCCUUCGGGUUGUAAAGUACUUUCAGCGGGGAGGAAGGGAGUAAAGUUAAUACCUUUGCUCAUUGACGUUACCCGCAGAAGAAGCACCGGCUAACUCCGUGCCAGCA